AACGAACGCUGGCGGCAGGCCUAACACAUGCAAGUCGAGCGGAGCGGCGGACGGGGGAGAAAGGCCUAGGAAUCUGACUGGUAGUGGGGGACAACGUAGGGAAACGGGAGCUAAUACCGCAUACUAUCAGAUGAGCCUAGGUCGGAUUAGCUAGUUGGACGGGUAAAGGCCUACCAAGGCGACGAACCGUAACUGGUCUGAGAGGAUGAUCAGUCACACUGGAACUGAGACACGGUCCAGACUCCUACGGGAGGCAGCAGUGGGGAAUAUUGGACAAUGGGCGAAAGCCUGAUCCAGCCAUGCCGCGUGAGUGAAGAAGGUCUUCGGAUUGUAAAGCACUUUAAGUUGAGAGGCGUUACCAACAGAAUAAGCACCGGCUAACUUCGUGCCAGCAGCCGCGGUAAUUC
rnacentral:rRNA from 1 species